UACACAUGCAGUCGAACGAUGAAGCCCUGCUUGCAGGGUGGAUUAGUGGCGAACGGGUGAGUAACACGUGAGUAACCUGCCCCUGACUCUGGGAUAAGCCCGGGAAACUGGGUCUAAUACCGGAUAUGACUUCCUACUGCAUGGUGGGUUGUUGAAAGAUUUAUCGGUGGGGGAUGGACUCGCGGCCUAUCAGCUUGUUGGUGAGGUAAUGGCUCACCAAGGCGACGACGGGUAGCCGGCCUGAGAGGGUGACCGGCCACACUGGGACUGAGACACGGCCCAGACUCCUACGGGAGGCAGCAGUGGGGAAUAUUGCACAAUGGGCGGAAGCCUGAUGCAGCGACGCCGCGUGAGGGAUGACGGCCUUCGGGUUGUAAACCUCUUUCAGUAGGGAAGAAGCGAAAGUGACGGUACCUGCAGAAGAAGCGCCGGCUAACUACGUGCCAGCAGCCGCGGUAAUACGUAGGGCGCAAGCGUUAUCCGGAUUUAUUGGGCGUAAAGAGCUCGUAGGCGGUUUGUCGCGUCUGCCGUGAAAGUCCGAGGCUCAACCUCGGAUCUGCGGUGGGUACGGGCAGACUAGAGUGAUGUAGGGGAGACUGGAAUUCCUGGUGUAGCGGUGAAAUGCGCAGAUAUCAGGAGGAACACCGAUGGCGAAGGCAGGUCUCUGGGCAUUUACUGACGCUGAGGAGCGAAAGCAUGGGGAGCGAACAGGAUUAGAUACCCUGGUAGUCCAUGCCGUAAACGUUGGGCACUAGGUGUGGGGGACAUUCCACGUUUUCCGCGCCGUAGCUAACGCAUUAAG
rnacentral:rRNA from 1 species